AUUUCGUGAGACUGAUAAAUUAAUUUACUCUUAUCACCUUUCUGGAUGUUAAGUCUUGCAAUUAAUUAACAAAGUUUUGAUUUAACUGAUUAAUUGAAUUCACCUUAUCAUCGUUACUAAACAUUAUCUCAGUCUCUUAUCGCAUACAAGGAACCACAAAUCAUUCAAGCCACACAAUGAAUAGAUAAAGCUACAACUAUAAGAAAAUUUAAUUAUUAUUCAACGUCAAGGGUUUGCUGAACACACGCCAAAAUGUUAUAAACAAUAUAUCACACCUGCUGAUUUCCUGUAGUGACAAUCCACAAGCCUCUUCUUCAGCAGCAGCAAUCACUAUUCCAACGAAUUAUAUGCGCCAUGAUCAAAACGCGAGCUGAAUCCCUUAAAGCCAAAGGACAACGGCGAAGGACAUUCUGCUUGUUACAUGACCGGCAAAGAAAAUUGAUGUGUUAUCUAUGAUGUAGAAAGCAAAAGGAUGAGUAGCCAGAAAAUAUUUCACCCCAUUAAAGGUUUUUGUAGAUAAUUCAAAUUACCAACAUCCGUACUUGGCGUACCAAUGCCCUGCUCCUGAAACUCAAAGGUGACUACAUGGAUAACUCCG